rnacentral:rRNA from 1 species
AUACGGAGGGUGCGAGCGUUAUCCGGAAUUACUGGGUUUAAAGGGUGCGUAGGCGGCCUGGUAAGUCAGGGGUGAAAGUCCAGGGCUUAACCGUGGGAUUGCCUUUGAUACUGCUGGGCUUGAACGAGGUUGAGGUGGGCGGAAUGUGGCAUGUAACGGUGAAAUGUGUAGAUAUGCCAUAGAACACCGAUUGCGAAGGCAGCUCACUGGACCUUUUUUGACGCUGAGGCACGAAAGCGUGGGGAGCGAACAGGAUUAGAAACCCUAGUAGUCC